GGAACCGACCUGUGGAGACCGCCAUCUUCUCCUGCAGCCCGACGCAGCCGCCUGCACGCACAGCGACGUCAGCGCCACUUCCGGGAGCGCGCCGCCCCGCCCCCCGCCCCGCGGCUUCCCGGCGCGCGUCACAUGGGCUCCGCCCCCGGCGGCGUUCUCUCCGGUCAACUAGCCAAAGGGAGCGCAGGGCUUCGCAGCUGUUUGGACUGCUGCACUGGACCUUCCUAAGAUUCUGCUAUUGAUUCAAAGUAAAAGUUAAAGAUAAGUUUAUUGGGACACCACGUUGAGUCGGUCAUCAUAAUAUAGAGCAAAAAGGAAAUAUUUUCUAAAAGGCAUGUGCAAUGGAGGGGAAGAGAGGGGGAAAUUUCUUUUAAUUUUUUUGUUUGUUUAAAGGCAUGUGCAGUGCGGCUGCAGUCCCCAAUACGGCAGCCACGUGUGUUAUGAGCUCGUGCCUGGGGAUGUGCUGUAAGGGAGACUGCGCAGGGUCACCAGCUGCCAUACAAGAGCUACCCUAGAGAGAAGCCCAGGUGGCAAGGAACAGCUUCUGGCCAAUAGCCUUGGAGGAAGUAAGGCCCUCAGUUCAACAGCCAUGAAGAACUGAAUCCUGUCAACAAACAUAAGGGAAAAUACAGAAAAGAACUAUGGAUGGAAGCAGAAAAAAGAACAACAAACGAGAAGAUGCAUAGACACACAAAGUCACAGAAUCCCUUUAAUGGCAACUUGAAGGCAUUAAGAUGACUAGGUCUUUAGGUCCCUGUUGCCUCUUUCUAGUUGCCAAAAUAACUGUUCCUCGUCUAACAGCAGUAGAAGUACAACUCCCAUGAAGUUUCUGCCUCCCUUAUUGCCAUUAAUGUUUGUGGUGGACAGUCUGGCACCCCAUGAUCCCACCUUCUGGUAUUCAUGCCCUAGUAUGAUCCCUUUUCCUUGAGGGUGAACAGGACUUGUGGCUUGUCUUUUUUCUUUUCCAGUUUUAUUGAAGUAUUAUUGACAAAUU